AUUGAACGCUGGCGGCAGGCCUAACACAUGCAAGUCGAGCGGAUGAAGGGAGCUUGCUCCUGGAUUCAGCGGCGGACGGGUGAGUAAUGCCUAGGAAUCUGCCUGGUAGUGGGGGAUAACGUCCGGAAACGGGCGCUAAUACCGCAUACGCCCUGAGGGGGAAAGUGGGGGAUCUUCGGACCUCACGCUCUCAGAUGAGCCGAGGUCGGAUUAGCUAGUUGGUGGGGUAAAGGCCUACCAAGGCGACGAUCCGUAACUGGUCUGAGAGGAUGAUCAGUCACACUGGAACUGAGACACGGUCCAGACUCCUACGGGAGGCAGCAGUGGGGAAUAUUGGACAAUGGGCGAAAGCCUGAUCCAGCCAUGCCGCGUGUGUGAAGAAGGUCUUCGGAUUGUAAAGCACUUUAAGUUGGGAGGAAGGGCAGUAAGUUAAUACCUUGCUGUUUUGACGUUACCAACAGAAUAAGCACCGGCUAACUUCGUG
rnacentral:rRNA from 1 species